UACGUAGGGGGCUAGCGUUGUCCGGAUUUAUUGGGCGUAAAGAGCGUGUAGGCGGCCAGAUAGGUCUGCUGUGAAAACUCGAGGCUCAACCUCGAGCUGUCGGCGGAAACCAUUUGGCUAGAGUCCGGAAGAGGAAAGUGGAAUUCCUGGUGUAGCGGUGGAAUGCGCAGAUAUCAGGAAGAACACCGACGGCGAAGGCAGCUCGCUGGGACGGUACUGACGCUGAGGCGCGAAAGCGUGGGGAGCGAACAGG
rnacentral:rRNA from 1 species